rnacentral:rRNA from 1 species
AGUGAACGCUGGCGGUAGGCCUAACACAUGCAAGUCGAACGGCAGCACAGUAAGAGCUUGCUCUUACGGGUGGCGAGUGGCGGACGGGUGAGGAAUACAUCGGAAUCUACUUUUUCGUGGGGGAUAACGUAGGGAAACUUACGCUAAUACCGCAUACGACCUACGGGUGAAAGCAGGGGAUCUUCGGACCUUGCGCGAUUGAAUGAGCCGAUGUCGGAUUAGCUAGUUGGCGGGGUAAAGCCCCACCAAGGCGACGAUCCGUAGCUGGUCUGAGAGGAUGAUCAGCCACACUGGAACUGAGACACGGUCCAGACUCCUACGGGAGGCAGCAGUGGGGAAUAUUGGACAAUGGGCGCAUGCCUGAUCCAGCCAUACCGCGUGGGUGAAGAAGGCCUUCGGGUUGUAAAGCCCUUUUGUUGGGAAAGAAAAGCAGCAGGUUAAUACCCCGCUGUUCUGACGGUACCCAAAGAAUAAGCACCGGCUAACUUCGUG